CACACACACACAUUUCCUGCAAAGUAACGUUAUCUGCUUUUUACAACUUUGACCAAAUGGCGAGAGAGAGAGAGCUUGUAUGUAAACCUUUUGUGAGUACUUUCAAUUUCUUUAGGAUAUUUGAUGUUUACAGACGUCUAAAAACAAACAUAUUUUUCUACAGAGCAUAACAUGAUUACCUUCGGUACACUACCAGAGUUUGACAUCUUAGACACUGACUAUUCAACGUCUGAGUUGUGGGAGAUUGACCAAUUUGCCAGCCAGCAGCUAAAUCUGGAACAAGAACAACAACCAUAGCCGCAGCAGCAGCAGACAUACUCUGUAACAUCAAGCCCUAUCAAUCUCCCCCGAAGUGCGAGUUUGGUAAGGCCAUUGUUACCUACUUAGGGAAGCAAGUUGGUCAUGCUCAAGUCCGUCCUGUCGAUGCGAAGUUGCAGCGGGGGCCUCUUUUCCAGCUCUCACUACCCGCUGUGAGCUUUGGCGUUUCAUGGAAGUGGAUGCGAGGGCCUCUGGGGCUGGUGCUGUAUUGCUGCAGGACAGUGAGGGUGAAAUGUAUAACCAUAACCAGCGUUUGAUGCGCUGGGCCCUGCUGGUUCAAGGAUACAACCUAGAGAUUAAGAAAGGAGCAGAUAAUGUGGUGGCUGAUGCCUUAUGUCGGGGGUAGGACGCACAAAUCUGCUUACAGUGGUACGCAUAGUGGAUCACAGUCCUUGUUACAAAGCAUUAGGUGUUUGUACUUAUGUGGGGGUUGUUACAUAGGAGUAUGUGUUUUUGCUGUGUGUGUGUCUCCUCCCUCCCCCUCUUCCUAAUUUCUCCAGGCUGCUGCCACUGUGGCUGAUUGGGGACACCUGAGUUUAAUCAGCUCCAGGAUAAUGGACCUGCAGGAAAUCCGGGGUGCUCUGCCAGGGACUGGUGUUUAUUGUGACUGGAUCGGCCUCUGCCUUUUUGUGGCAAGCCCGCCCUUAGUUUAGUUAAUGUUUUUUGG